UUUUUUUAAUUUAACUUUUUAAUUUUUGAGUCGAGUCGAAACAAAAUACUCCUCUAACCAUGUUGACCAUAGUUUUAAGAUUGUAUUUUUAAUAGCUUUGAUAAAUUAAAAGUAAUAUUUGGAACAAAGUAAAAUGAAACUUCUAUCAUAUUUUUUUUCACUCUUUUUUUUCUAACCAUCUUUAAUUCCAAUAGUUUGUAUAUG
rnacentral:lncRNA from 1 species